AUCAGGGGCCCUGGCAAGGGCCUUCGGAUCGCUGCUCUAACCCACCCACCUGAGCCGAUUCGUGUCUGUACCGCCCACAAGGCGCGCUUGACGAGAUUGCGACUGGAACGAAGUUGUCCCGAGGGACGGAAGCGUAACUAGGUAGAUCGGCAACACACUGAAGGAACGCAAAAAGGCCCACGACGCCCGGACGCUCCCUGCAGCUGGCCUCCACCUGCUCACUCUCC
rnacentral:ncRNA from 1 species